AAAGGAGGCACUCAUUAUCAUGACUAUCACACUCCUUCAUGAAGCAACAAUAGAUCUCCUUCUAGAAACAUCAUUUUCAAAAGGAGCAGGUACCCAGCUGUAAACAUCAUGAAGGAUGUGACGGGAGGGCGGCUUCCCUCCUUUAGGAGCUGUAUAUACAUUAAUCACUGAAUCACCAAGCCAUGCUUAAUUGCAAGCUGUAUAUCACACAAAUCCAUGGAAUGCAGAAAAGGUAUUACACCACUAAUUACAGCCCACACUGCUACCUCCAACUCUGCUGCCUGAAAGAAAAGAACGGAACAGUCUAGAUCUGAUGCCAUCCCAGGCUUCUGCCUCGUUGCCACUAAAUGGUGGAGCUGAUAUCCGAAGCCCUGAGACCCAUUUCUGUACUUACUAGUCAGGUAAAGCCAGGUACCAUAUACCUGAAGCUAAUGACUCACUUUCUAAGGUAUAUGCCCAUUACUCCAGCUUCUCAAGGGAUCUCCUCAAAAGAACAAUGACCAUCUCCAGUAAGAAUAAAUAAGAGUCAAACUCCUAUAGUUAUUUCCGGCUUUAAAACAAGCAAGACACACCUCCCGUCUUGAUUAGUCACAGAGCUGCUGCUGGACAGAGAGACGGACAGUGUGACCUCGACUCUCAUCGACUCAACAGCCAGCCCUCGGGUACCAGACACACAGGC